rnacentral:rRNA from 1 species
UACGUAGGGGGCAAGCGUUGUCCGGAUUUAUUGGGCGUAAAGAGCGUGUAGGCGGCUAGAUAGGUCCGUUGUGAAAACUCGAGGCUCAACCUCGAGACGUCGAUGGAAACCAUCUGGCUAGAGUCCGGAAGAGGAGAGUGGAAUUCCUGGUGUAGCGGUGAAAUGCGCAGAUAUCAGGAAGAACACCCGUGGCGAAGGCGGCUCUCUGGGACGUGACUGACGCUGAGACGCGAAAAGCGUGGGGGAGCAAACAGG